UAGGGAAUAUUGGUAAUGGGCGAAAGCCUGAACCAGCAACGCCGCGUGUGCGAUGAAGGCCUUCGGGUUGUAAAGCACUUUUGACCGGGACGAGGAAGGACGGUACCGGUGGAAUAAGCCUCGGCUAACUACGUGCCAGCAGCCGCGGUAAAACGUAGGAGGCGAGCGUUAUCCGGAUUUACUGGGUGUAAAGCGCGUGCAGGCGGUUAGCUAAGUUGGGUGUGAAAGCUCCUGGCUCAACUGGGAGGGGUCGCGUAAGACUGGGUGA
rnacentral:rRNA from 1 species